rnacentral:rRNA from 1 species
UACGUAGGGUGCAAGCGUUGUCCGGAAUUAUUGGGCGUAAAGAGCUCGUAGGCGGUCUGUCGCGUCUGCUGUGAAAACUCAGGGCUUAACCCUGAGCUUGCAGUGGGUACGGGCAGACUAGAGUGCGGUAGGGGAGACUGGAAUUCCGUGGUGUAGCGGUGAAAUGCGUAGAUAUCGUAAGGAAGACCAGUGGCGAAGGCGGGUCUCUGGA